rnacentral:rRNA from 1 species
AACGAACGCUGGCGGCGUGGAUAAGACAUGCAAGUCGAACGGGGUUAGUAGCAAUACUAACUCAGUGGCGAACGGGUGCGUAACACGUGAGUAAUCUGCCGAGAAGUGGGGGAUAGCUUGCCGAAAGGCAAAUUAAUACCGCAUAUGGCCAUUCUUCGAUUGAAGAAAAAGCUAAAGCCGCAAGGCGCUUCUUGAUGAAC